rnacentral:rRNA from 1 species
UACGUAGGGGGCUAGCGUUGUCCGGAUUUAUUGGGCGUAAAGAGCGUGUAGGCGGCCAGGUAGGUCCGGUGUGAAAACUCGAGGCUUAACCUCGAGAUGUCAUCGGAAACCAUCUGGCUAGAGUCCGGAAGAGGAAAGUGGAAUUCCCAGUGUAGAGGUGAAAUUCGUAGAUAUUGGGAAGAACACCGGUGGCGAAGGCGGCGACCUGGUCCGUGACUGACGCUGAGGCGCGAAAGCGUGGGGAGCAAACAGG